GGAACCCCGGGAGGCGGAGGUCUGGUAGCACCACCUACUCUCUUAAAGGAGUAGGCGCUCAGAGUUCAAAACACGUAAGGCAGCUAUUUUCGUCUUUCCUAGUUCUUCUGAUGGAUCUCAAUUACUGCCUCUAUUCUGCCACAACAGACGCUCAGAACCCGAAAGUUGGGGAGGGCCUUAGUGAGCAUCCCCGGAUGAACCUCCUAGAAAAGGCGGCCGUGUCUGGCUUUGGAUUGGCGGCCGCCCCAUCGGAGGAGGAAGGGGAGCGUGUCGGCUUCUAGACACUUGGGCAGUCAAUCGGUAAUAAUUUAUGCACCCACACUCCGCGGGAGCCCAGUCUCUCGCAGUUCUUGGCGAGGCGGCCUAGGACAUGGUCCGAGGCGCUGGUGGGCGGUCGGCCGGCCCGGGCACCCUGCGUGAAGACUAGACCAAGCCCCCUGCUCUCCUCGCACGGAGUCUACAAGUCUGCAGUGGCCACUGUCUCAGUGGCUAAGAGCUGGGGACGUGCUGCUGAUCACGUGAGAUCCAGCCCAGAAAGCUGCCCCCAGUUGCUGUCUCGCAAGUUCUAUCAUCUUGUGUUAAUAAGGGAGGAACUGCCAAGUGGAAGGCGUGACAAAAGCAACAAGUAAAAUGAAUUGUUGCCUCUUUACCAUUCUGCCUGGAGCCAACUGAUUAUGGAUUGAAACCUCUACGAACUGUGAGACAAAGAAACCCCUUACCCUCUUAACUUUGGAUGUCAGUGCUCACCUCCUCUCUGCUGGGAGCUCUGGCACGCCUACCCAGAAGCCUCCUCUAUGCUGGGAGCCGUGGCACCCUGACCCGGAAGUCUCCUCUGCACUGGGAGCCAUGGUGUGCUGACCUGGAAGUCUCUUCUGUGCUGGGAGCUGUGGCAUGCUGACCUGGAAGCCUCCUCUAUUCUGGGAGCCACGGCACAACAACCCGGAAGCCUCCUCUACGCUGGGAGCCAUGGCACGCCUACCUGGAAGUCUCCUCCUGCCUAGGAACCAUGGCACGCUGACCCUGAAGUCUCCUCUGGGCUGGGAGCUGUGGCACACUUACCUGGAAGCCCCCUCUACACUGGGAGCCAUGACACACCUACCCAGAAGCCUCCUCCUGCCUGGGAGCCAUGGCGUGCUGACCUGGAAGUCUCCUCUGGGCUGGGAGCCAUGGCACACCAACCUGGAGGUCUCCUCUCCCUACACAAUAUAUCUUUGUUUUUGUUUUUGUUUUUUUCUACACAAUAUAUCUUGAUUCAUCUUUUUCUCCCAAUCCCCUUCCCUCCCGUCAACCUUCCAUUCUCCCUUAUUUACAAAAGUUGUUUCUGUUUUUUCCUUCUUUUCUCAUUUUUUUCACCUUUUCCCUUCCUUUCCCCCCUCUUCCCUUCACAGUUUCUCUUUUCCUUUGAACAGUUUUUUCCUAUUUUAUAUUACCUAUUAUACCAAAAGUGCAUGAGAAAUAGUGCAAAGAAUCAAUAAUUGGGAUGUCAUCCUGUUAAGAAGGGUUUACACCACAAAAAGAAAUCAACAACAGAGUGAACAGAUAACCCC
ensembl:lncRNA